AAAUUGAAGAGUUUGAUCAUGGCUCAGAUUGAACGCUGGCGGCAGGCCUAACACAUGCAAGUCGAACGGUAACAGAAAGCAGCUUGCUGCUUUGCUGACGAGUGGCGGACGGGUGAGUAAUGUCUGGGAAACUGCCUGAUGGAGGGGGAUAACUACUGGAAACGGUAGCUAAUACCGCAUAAUGUCGCAAGACCAAAGAGGGGGACCUUCGGGCCU
rnacentral:rRNA from 1 species